AGUGAACGCUGGCGGUAGGCCUAACACAUGCAAGUCGAACGGCAGCACAGUAAGAGCUUGCUCUUACGGGUGGCGAGUGGCGGACGGGUGAGGAAUACAUCGGAAUCUACUUUUUCGUGGGGGAUAACGUAGGGAAACUUACGCUAAUACCGCAUACGACCUACGGGUGAAAGCAGGGGAUCUUCGGACCUUGCGCGAUUGAAUGAGCAGAUGUCGGAUUAGCUAGUUGGCGGGGUAAAGGCCCACCAAGGCGACGAUCCGUAGCUGGUCUGAGAGGAUGAUCAGCCACACUGGAACUGAGACACGGUCCCGACUCCUACGGGAGGCAGCAGUGGGGAAUAUUGGACAAUGGGCGGAAGCCUGAUCCAGCCAUACCGCGUGGGUUAAGAAGGCCUUCGGGUUUUAAAGCCCUUUUGUUGGGAAAGAAAAGCAGUAGGUUAAUACCCCGCUGUUCUGACGGUACCCAAAGAAUAAGCACCGGCUAACUUCGUG
rnacentral:rRNA from 1 species